CAUCCGUCUUUCCAGGCGGAUGUUGAAAGCGAUAACUGGCUCGGAUGGCAAAUAUAAACUAUGACACUGCUGGAAAUAGCACUGCACUUGUUGAAGCAGGCAGGGGUGGGUUGCUUAGAGCCCAUGGACUAUUUCUCAAAGAAUCUCUCUGAACACAGGCUGCAAGGAACAAAGACACAUUAAAAGCCACUAUCUCAGCCCUCUGGAGGUCUGGCCUUGUGGGGCAAGGUGGAGACCAGGGCAAGGGAAGCAUGGGACAUUUAAGGAGGCACUUGCUCUCAGGUUGUGCACACCUUAAGAAAGCUUCUGGUUAAUUGAUGAAGACCCCAAUCGAUGGCGGAGGAGGAGUCCUGGCUCUCUUUACUUGUGGCUUCUGGGUCUUUCUGAAGAAGGAAGGAGCUAUAGCAGUUAUUUCUGGUAUGUACAUCAGUAAGUCAGUUAAAG
rnacentral:lncRNA from 1 species